rnacentral:rRNA from 1 species
AUAUCACCUUGUUCGGAAUCCUAAUAUGGAUAACUGCGGAAAUACUGGAGCUAAUACAUGCAACUAAACCCCAACGUAAGGCGGGGUGCAAUUAUUAGAACAGACCAAACGUUUUCGGACGUUGUUUGUUGACUCUGAAUAAAGCAGUUUACUGUCAGUUUCGACUGACUCUAUCCGAAAAGGGUGUCUGCCCUUUCAACUAGAUGGUAGUUUAUUGGACUACCAUGGUUGUUACGGGUAACGGAGAAUAAGGGUUCGACUCCGGAGAGGGAGCCUUAGAAACGGCUACCACGUCCAAGGAAGGCAGCAGGCGCGAAACUUAUCCACUGUUGAGUAUGAGAUAGUGACUAAAAAUAUAAAGACUCAUCCUUUUGGAUGAGUUAUUUCAAUGAGUUGAAUACAAAUGAUUCUUCGAGUAGCAAGGAGAGGGCAAGUCUGGUGCCAGCAGCCGCGGUAAUUCCAGCUCUCCUAGUGUAUCUCGUUAUUGCUGCGGUUAAAAAGCUCGUAGUUGGAUCUAGGUUACGUGCUGCAGUUCGCAAUUUGCGUCA